GAAAGAUGCAACAAAAAUUAAUAUUCUUGCAAUAACAACUAAUGUUAAGCCGGCGAUCAACUAUAUUACAAGACACAACAAACCAGACACUAGGAGGGAAAUCACGCUUAUGGAUAUGAGUGGAAUGCCAAUGCGUGCAACUUUAUUUGGAGAUUUAGCUACAAAUGAAGGAUCAAUUCUUGAAGCAGAAAUCAAAUAUAAGCCUGUAAUAGCAUU